rnacentral:rRNA from 1 species
GACAGAGGAUGCAAGCGUUAUCCGGAAUGAUUGGGCGUAAAGCGUCUGUAGGUGGCUUUUCAAGUCCGCCGUCAAAUCCCAGGGCUCAACCCUGGACAGGCGGUGGAAACUACCAAGCUGGAGUACGGUAGGGGCAGAGGGAAUUUCCGGUGGAGCGGUGAAAUGCAUUGAGAUCGGAAGGAACGCCCGUGGCGAAAGCGAGGUCCUGGACGUCUUCUGACGCUGAGACGCGAAAGCUAGGGGAGCGAACGGG